CACCUCUUUAAAUCAGUCCCGUGAGGCUGUUAAGAGGUACACUCUUUCUUGGGCACCUGUGUGCUUUUUUACAGGAGUAGUGUAACCUCUUUGUCAUGGGCAAGGAGGUUUUUUGUU
rfam:Bacillus halodurans C-125 DNA, complete genome.